UUCUUGCUUCUUUUUUCGUUUGAUUUGUUGGAACUGCUUAAGAGUAAAGUAUUAGUUGAUGUUAAGUAUUUUAUGGAAAUUGUUUAAGGGAUAAAGAGUAUAGUAUAGUGAUAGAACAGGAGUUAAUGUAGUAAAAGAAAUGUUUAAGUUUUGUACCUUUUGUAUCAGGGUUUAGCAAGUUAUUCCGGGUUUGUUGGUGUUCUCGAAUCGUUUAAGAUCUAUUUUAGGUUAAUUUCUUUAGUAGUAAAUAGAGGUUGAAACCUAAUAUAGAGGUGAAAUGCCAGUCGAUUAAUGUAUAUCUAGUUUCUCGGGAAUCAAAUUUAAUUUGGAUUGGUUAGGCAAUAUCUUUGACCAGUGUAAUAUCUGAGGGCAUGAGCUCUUUGUGUUGAUCAUUUGAUAUUAAGUCAGUAAUCUAGUAAUUUCGAUAAGUAAGCUUGAAGUUAGCUAUUUUGGUAUGUUGUUAUAAAUAAUUAAUGAGUUUAGAGAUUUUUAUUGACUUAUAAGUGGUACCGGGGUUUGAUAAAAGAUUUAUUUAUAUUAGAGAUAAUGUUAGGAUUAGUAGUUUGUAAUGUGAGUGAGUAAAAGUUGUGAAAUAUGAAACGGAGUUUAUACUCGGGUUAGGGUUUAGUUAAGGAACUCGGCAAAUAUUUCUUCCGCCUGUUUAUCAAAAACAUGUCUUCUUGGAUAAAUUAAGAAGUCUGUCCUGCCCACUGAAUGAAGUUUAAAGGGCCGCGGUAUUAUGACCGUGCAAAGGUAGCAUAGUCAAUAGUCUCUUAAUUGGAGGCUGGAAUGAACGGUUGGACGGGAAGAUAGCUGUCUUAACUGAGUACUACGAAUUUGACUUUUAUGUGAAAAGGCAUAAAUGGUUUGGGGGGACGAUAAGACCCUAUAAAACUUUAUAAUUUGAUUAGGAAUUUGAUUUGAGUUUAAUAUGUGCCUAAGGAUUGUUAUUUCGCUGGGGAGGUGGAAAUAAAAUUCUUCUAACUGUUUUAUAAUGUAAAUAACAAUAAUUAGAUGAUGACCCUGAAUUUUGGUUUAAAAGUUUAAGUUACUUUAGGGAUAACAGCGUAAUCUCUCUUGAGAGUUCAUAUCGACAGAGAUGGUUGCGACCUCGAUGUUGAAUUAAAAUUUCCUACAGGAGUAGAAAUUUGUGGGGUAGGUCUGUUCGACCUUUAAAGUUUUACAUGAUUUGAGUUCAAACCGGUGUGAGCCAGGUUGGUUUCUAUCUUCCAGGUGAAGAAGAAUUGUCUUAGUACGAAAGGAUUGGGCAGUUAUAAAAUUUAUUUUAUACAGAAUAAUAAUAAAUGA
rnacentral:rRNA from 1 species